GUCCUCCUUCUCUAACCAUUGUACUUGGGAUAUACAAAGAGCAAGUGCUAUGACCUAUUGGAUGUUGCCAGCGUCCAUGGUGGUGGAGUCCCUCUUCUUCCUGUUGUGCUUGGUUCCUUCGUUCAUGUUGUUGCCCUGUAUUGCUCAGGAGAGAGCUAGGAGAAGUUGAAAACAUGGUAGAGGUCAUGCCUCUAACAUGUGGGGUCACACCGUCACACUAUAUUAUUUAUUAUUUUCUAAUUGUAAUUCCAUGUAAGAGUCAUGUAGAUACCACAUAGGACAAAACUGACGUCCAAACCAACAAGACAAAACGAGCCAAUUUUUAUACUUAAGUUGAUACUCGAGGAAGCAUUCAUAUCCGAUGAUGUAAUUGAGGGAGCAAUAUUAGACUAGGGUAAUAGUUUCCAUACAAAACACCCUUAUUCAGGAGGAAAAUGUCAAAUCUUGAAUACACAGCCAAGAUUGGGUAGAGAC
rnacentral:lncRNA from 1 species